CCUAGCUAGCUAGCUGAGUGUUGCUGAAGCCUGGCUGUUGUGGUAAAGCUCGUCCUCGUUUGGAUGAAGUUUCGGGUUAAAAAACAGAGUCAGAAAGUGGCCGAGCGGCGCGGUGUGUCAUGAGCCUGAUAUGAAUUACUCAGGAGAGGAGCCGAGGCUUCGUUUGGGGCACUUUCAGCCGGCAGGAGGACCAGGACGGAGAGGAGCGGGCUACCACUCAUGACUUCCUCGUCAGCCUGACUGCUGCUGUUGUUCUUGGAGGUGUGGACGACAUGGCCAGCCAUCAGCAGGCAGAGCUGUCAUAUGCCUGGGAGAAGUACAUGGACUGUAGGCUGCAGGGAGCCGAUCUGCAGGUCAGCCUUCAGGGUCUGGAGAAUUUCCUCUGUCUCUUCCACUACGUGCAGCAUCACCCCAGCCUCAGCAGCAACAAGGAUGCUCUCAAGUUCUG